GUCUAUGGUCAUGCUACCCUGAAUAAGCCUGAUCCCAUCUGAUCUCGGAAGCUAAGCAAAGUCGGGCCUGGUUAGUACUUGCAUGGGAAACCACCUAGGAAGACCAGGUACUGUAGGCA
rnacentral:rRNA from 1 species